CCAUGUAGGAUAUGCCUGCUUCCCCUCUGCCAUGAUUUUAAGUUUCCUGAGGCCCCCCUAGUCAUCUUUCCUGUACAGCCUAUCGAACCAUGAGCCAGUUAAACCUCUUUUCUUUAUAAAAUACCGAGUCUCAGCUUUAAUGCUAUCAAUAAGAACAGGAAUAUUUGGCUUAUCUUCAACAUCUUCAUACCAUCAGAGAACUCCAAAGUUAACACAGGAUAUGUUAUCCGCAUUACUGCCAGAGAAUUCUCUCUGAAGUGAUUAUCUGAUCAUCAUCCUCUCUUCUUCUCCACAAGCUCAAACACUUUCAGUGACUGAUUUCAAACCAGUUGAACCACAUUAUUAGGAAAGGCGCCUUGAUGAAAAGAU
rnacentral:lncRNA from 1 species